AUUGAACGCUGGCGGCAGGCCUAACACAUGCAAGUCGAACGAGUGGCGGACGGGUGAGUAAUGUCUGGGAAACUGCCUGAUGGAGGGGGAUAACUACUGGAAACGGUAGCUAAUACCGCAUACCAUCGGAUGUGCCCAGAUGGGAUUAGCUAGUAGGUGGGGUAAAGGCUCACCUAGGCGACGAUCCCUAGCUGGUCUGAGAGGAGGACCAGUCACACUGGGACUGGGACACUGGCCAGACUCCUCCGGUAGGCAGCAGUGAGGAAUAUUGCACAAUGGGCGCAAGCCUGAUGCAGCCAUGCCGCUGGUAUGAAGAAGGCCUUCGGGUUUGAAAGUACUUUCAGCGGGGAGGCGUUACCAACAGAAUAAGCACCGGCUAACGGCGUGCCAGCAGCCGCGGUAAUAC
rnacentral:rRNA from 1 species